rnacentral:misc_RNA from 1 species
UUUCCGUAGGUGAACCUGCGGAAGGAUCAUUAUUGAAACUUCAUCCGGGGCGCCGCGGCCCUCAGCACCGGUGGAAACGCCGUGCUGCGGGGGCCGCGCGUGCACUCGCCCAAACCAAACCCCUGUGAACCUUACGGGAUGGCCCGGGUUAGCGCCCGGUGCCGUUCCGCUUUAUACAAACACUUAUCAAAGAAUGAACUGAAGGCGGUCUGACCGCUGGAUAACAAACUGAAACAACUUUCAACAACGGAUCUCUUGGCUCUC